CCUGCCCCUAGAGGCACUGCGGGUGCGGCUGCUGUGUCACAUGUGCAUCAGCAGGUGACAGAGAGGACAGAGGCUACGUCUAUGCUCAGUGUUCUGACUUGCGAACAUCUGAAUGAUUAGUAGCCUAACAUU